rnacentral:rRNA from 1 species
CCUACGGGAGGCAGCAGUGGGGAAUAUUGGACAAUGGGCGAAAGCCUGAUCCAGCCAUGCCGCGUGUGUGAAGAAGGCCUUCGGGUUGUAAAGCACUUUCAGUGGGGAAGAAAGCCUUGGGGCUAAUACCCUCGAGGAAGGACAUCACCCACAGAAGAAGCACCGGCUAACUCCGUGCCCGCAGCCGCGGUAAUACGGAGGGUGCGAGCGUUAAUCGGAAUUACUGGGCGUAAAGCGCGCGUAGGCGGUCUGAUAAGCCGGUUGUGAAAGCCCCGGGCUCAACCUGGGAACGGCAUCCGGAACUGUCAGGCUAGAGUGCAGGAGAGGAAGGUAGAAUUCCCGGUGUAGCGGUGAAAUGCGUAGAGAUCGGGAGGAAUACCAGUGGCGAAGGCGGCCUUCUGGACUGACACUGACGCUGAGGUGCGAAAGCGUGAGUAGCAAACAGGAUUAGAUACCCUGGUAGUC